rnacentral:misc_RNA from 1 species
AAAAUAUCUUGGCUAGAGCCUAGAAGCGAAGAAGAUAGGCACCUUGCCUAAUACCGCGAAAGAGGAACAAGAAGAAUGUCCUUUAAAGCGGCGUACGAACACUGUAAGAAGAGAUGAAUGAGACCGAUGCGGAUGCAAUCAUUUGCUUUUUUGGUCUUCAAAAGCAGAUCAGUUUGAUUUAAGAGAUGGUAUUCAGCCACUGAGCUGAGCUGAUUAAAAUCCCUAAGCCCUAGAAGAAGAAAGUGGGUCAGUUUCCACCAAUUUUUUUGUUUUCUUUCUAAUUUCCAGUUUGUGAUUAAUUUACUGCAGUUUGCCUUUGAUUUGCUUGUAGCAUUCUCUGGCAUUUCAUUUUCUGUUUAAAAUUUCACUUGCAAGCAAUGUUAAUCCAACUAUAGAAUUCAAACCCCUUCACCCAUCUAUUCUCUACAUAAUAUGAUUUGAGAUAUGGAGUUGGAAACACUGAGUAUGCCAAAUGAAGUUAUUGAAUUUGACAUGAUGGGCUUGGGAGAUGAUACUGUGGACAUCCUCCAACACCCUGACCAUGUUGAUGAUCAUAAACGAGUGGAAGAUGAAGAUGAAGGGGAAGGAGGAGAAAAAAAACAAAACCUGCUCCUCCACAAUUUCCGCCACUCCUACAAUUCCAGUAAUUCUACUACUUCUCAGCUUUACAUCCCUCAAGGAGACACUAAUCUUGAGCCUUAUGAGGGAAUGGAAUUUGAAUCUGAGGAGGCUGCCAAGGCCUUCUAUAAUUCUUAUGCUCGUCGUGUUGGCUUCAGCACCCGUGUCAGCAUGUCUCGUCGCUCUAGGCGUGAUGGUGCCAUCAUUCAGCGUUCUUUUGUCUGUGCCAAGGAGGGUUUUCGUGUUGACAAGGACAAGCAUGCACGUCCUGAUACUCGUGUCAAACGCCCCCGUGCUGAAACUCGUGUUGGUUGCAAGGCCAUGUUGGUUGUUAAAAUUCGGGAUUCUGGAAGAUGGGCUGUUUCUGCAUUUGUCAAGGAACACAACCAUGAACUUGUCCCUCCUGACAAGGUGCAUUGCCUUCGUUCUCACCGCCAUGUCUCUGGCUCUGCCAAGUCCUUGAUUGAUACCUUGCAGGGUGCUGGGAUUGGUCCCAGUGGAAUCAUGUCUGCACUCAUCAAAGAAUAUGGUGGAAUUAGCAAUGUUGGUUUCACUGAGCGUGACUGCAGGAAUUACAUGAGGAGCAGUCGCCAGAGAACGCUUGGAGGAGACACUCAACUCCUUUUGGACUAUUUGCGCAACAAGCAGGCUGAGAAUCCUGCAUUUUUCUAUGCGGUGCAGGGUGAUGAAGAUCAGUGCAUGAGCAAUAUCUUCUGGGCUGAUCCUAAGGCAAGGACUAACUAUACUUACUUUGGUGACACUGUUACCUUUGACACUACUUACAGGUCAAACCGUUAUCGGUUGCCCUUUGCGCCUUUCACUGGAGUUAACCAUCAUGGGCAGCCAAUAUUGUUUGGUUGUGCGCUCCUAAUUAAUGAGUCUGAGGCAUCUUUCAUUUGGCUUUUUAAAACAUGGCUUAUGGCAAUGUCUGGGCAGCCUCCUGUUUCAAUUACUACUGAUCAUGAUAGGCUGAUUCGUCUAGCUGUUACCCAGGUCUUUCCUGAAACCCGUCACCGUUUUUGUAAGUGGCAUAUCUUUAAGGAAUGCCAGGAGAAAUUAUCCCAUGUAUUUUCUGAGAAUCCCAGUUUUGAAGCAGAGUUCCAUAAAUGCGUCAACCUCACAGAGUCAAUUGAAGAGUUUGAAUCCUGUUGGUUCUCUUUAAUUGAUAGAUAUCAUCUCAGGGAGCAUGAGUGGCUACAAGCAGUUUUUGCAGAUAGGAGACAGUGGGUCCCAGCAAUCUUGAGGGACACAUUCUUUGCUGAAAUGUCUAUAACUCAACGUAGUGAUAGUAUCAAUUCAUACUUUGAUGGCUAUAUCAAUGCCUCAACAACCCUACAGUUGUUUGUGAAGCAGUACGAAAAGGCUCUGGAAAGCCGCUAUGAGAAAGAAGUCAAGGCAGAUUAUGAUACAAUAAACACUACUCCUAUACUCAAGACCCCUUCACCCAUGGAGAAACAAGCAUCUGAG